AGAACCAGAAAAAGUGAUUCACAUGAAGAAAAAUGUAAUUAAUUGUUUUAUUUUAGAAGAGGGAUCUGUAACUGCCAGAAGUCCAAGGAAUGGAUAUCCCCACACUGGAUCUUAGAAGCUUACAUUCCCUUUCCAUGUCAUCUGCCUUUAUCCCCAAAUGUUUUUUUUUACUCAAAAGGCUCCUUGUGGCAUCUAAGUGGUGUGAAGAACAAUUUCAGGGUUUUUGUUUGUUUAGUUUUAAAAUCAAGAGCAUCUGGGAUCUGCACUGACAGCCUCAAAGGCCCAGUUGGAUGGAACAGAAAGAGGAUGGAGGGGCACAGGAAACAGCUUGUGGGGUUUGCACAUUGCCCAGCUCACACAUACACUUAGAAUUCAGGUGGAUGGUCAGAGCACUUUUUUAAGGUCAAUGGAAAGUGGGUUUUGUACUACAAGUCCCAUCAGGCCUUAGCUAUGGAAGGGUGGGAGUUGCAGGCCAGCAAUGUCUACAGCAGAAUGCAUGCAAAGAAUGGCUUCCUCUGGGUCAAGAUGAACCACAUAUGGAGCAAAUGCUUUUUCUUUCUUCCUAAGCCAUGACGCCUCCUUCCUCAUUUCUCUCUCUUCCAAAAAGUAGAAAUAAUAAUAGACCUUUCUUGAAAAAUGUACCUGGUUCUCAUACACUAUCUGGCACACACCCAGCGAGGAAGGAGGCAGGAAAGGUAGCCACAUGGAAGGUGAGGAGGCAGGAAGAGUGCAUGCCUGUCGGGUUCUCUUCUCCCAGUUGUGCUGUGGGUCCGUCUUCCAAAGAAAGCACCAAGACACACGCGGGUAGAUUCCAACAAGUUUUAUUGUACUGAAUACCAGAACCUUCUUUUGUGCCACAUAUAUAGGGACUCUUACAUACCAGAGGGUCAUUGAUGUUUUAUGGCCGGCCUGCUUUAUGGCUGGCAUCUGUUCUUUGUCCGCUGAGCAGAGAUGUCAAGGAUUGGAGAUCCUGACAUCGCCUCUCCCUUCUUCCUUAGUGGCAGCUGCGGAAGGGAAAGGCAGGAGAAAAGGAUCUCAUUCGCACAGCGCUUCUCUUGCUUUUUCUUUCCCCCUCUUCAGCGAGUGCCGUGCAAAAGGGGAAGGGAAAGAUCAAGCAGCCCCUUCUCCUUCGCAUUCACACAGCACUGGCCAGGAAGGCUAAGGAGAAGCUGUUUCUCCCGCUUUUUCCUUCCCCCUCUUCAGCAAGUGCAGACCAAAGGGGGAAGCGAGGGAAAAGGAGAGGGGAAAGCGUGAGCAGCACUUUCUUAUUCGCACAGCACCAGCCGAGGAAGGAGAAGGGAGCCGCGGCAGCGGCGGCUCCCUCCUAGGUCUUACUUUCCGGGGAGGUCUUAUAUUUGGCAAGUCUCCCAAACCUGUACUAGGUCUUAUUUUAUGGGGAUGUCUUAUUUUCGGGGAAACAUGGUAAGAGUAAUUGGUGUAGCACAUCUCACACAAGUACUAGAAGAGCAUCUCCACAUUCAACGCCAUAGUGGGCUGGCCUUGGUGGGGCACUUACACAACCUUCACAGUUGCUCUCCUUCUCCCACGAACACACCUACACACAUAGCUAAAGCCACACUGUGCUGACCUAAGUGAGACACAGCCUUUCAAAAGGUCAUGAACAGAGGGCGUAAAUUUCACCCAACCCUUUCCUGCCCAUGGAACUGACCCUCUUGUCUUUUCCUUUGUUUUAGCAAGUGAUCAAAAACCCAACAUUUCUAAGAAAGGCAAGAGAAAUUCAUCUGAAAGGAGAGAAUGAAUGACAACGGGAAAAGACACAGAGAGAAAGGCAAACCAAGGAGAUGGGAUGAUGGUGUAACUGUAUGCUUCUGCCCUCUUCCCUGCUUAAUAUUUGAGUUAAACUACAAUCAUUGGGGAAUAAUUAGCUGACAAGCAAAGUCAGUGUUGAUACAUUGUAUAUAAAUGUGUACGAAUGGUUUUUACAAAGCAACCGGAAGGGCAUCCUCACAUUUGAUGCCUAGUGGUGGGCAAGUAGGGAGAUCCCACGUGGUGUGGUAUUAGGGGAACUUACACAACCCUCAUGGUUGCUCCCCUUCUCCCAGCAACACACCCACACACAUAGCUAAAGAGACACUGUACAGGCCUAGAAGAGAUACAGUCUUUCAAAAGGCCGUGAACAAAGGAUGGGGAUUCUACUGCAGCCCUUCCCUGCCCAAAGAAUUGACCUUCUUUGUCUUUUCCUUCUUUUUUUAGUAAGAGACCAAAAAUCCAAUAUUUCUAAGGAAGGUAAGUGAAUCCCACCCAGCUCAAAGGGUAGAAUAAAUUACAAGGGAAAAGACAUACAUAGAAAAGCAAAUCAGGGAAAUUGAAUGGUUUGUAGCCGUAGAAGAUGGUGGUGUAACUGUAUCCUUCUACCUUCCUCCCUGAUUAAUAUUUGAAUUUUAAGAAAGUUAAAUUAGAAUAGUGGGUUGCUGUGAGUUUUUCGGGCCGUAUGGCCAUGUUCCAGUAGAAUUCUUUCCUGGUGUUUCACCUGCAUCUGUGUGGCUAAUGGCAUCUUGUUGUAGUUGAGCCAAGGGGUAGUAAUGGUACUACUGGUGAAACUGCUAGCAGGAGGAAAAGGGCUAAUGGUGAGCAGGUGUUUGAUGAGGAACAGCAAGUAAAGCGGUUCCGGGAAAUACUUAUGGCUCCUUCUGAGGAUGAAACGUUUGAAGGGUUCUCUAGUGGUGAGGAGUCAAUGCAGGAAGACGAUGGAUUAACAGAGAGUAGAGGAACUCAAAGGUCAACUCGGGAGCAAGAGUCAGAUGAAGAAAGGGAAAGGAAGAAGAUCCGGGAUCUACUCACUGCUCCCACAGAAGAUGAAACGUUUGAAGGUUUUUCUGGGGAUGAUGGGUCUGGGAGUGAGAUGGAAAGUGCUGCAGAUUGGACUCAAGUAAAUGUGUGUGCAGAGCCAGUUUCUGGGGGUGCAUCAGGGAAUUGGCAAACUACUGGUGCACCAGUGACAUGGGGAGAUCUAAGUCUUGAAUGAAGAUGGAGGGACUGGAGGGAUGACGGGCGAGCUUCACAUAUGAGAUUAAGAUCAGCUGUGGAUAAUGAUGAUGGGGCGGAGGCCUCAUCAUCUGUGGACUCCGAUGUGUAAGUUAAAAGUGGAGUUGGAAGGAAAGCUCCCUUGCAGAAGGCAAAGUGUUGUUUGGGACAUUGCUUUGUCACUGCCUGUUCUCCUUGGGUCCUCGCUGUAUAGCUUCGUGGUUCCUGAGUUCGGUUUGGCUCCUGACGACGACAACGUUCCUUCCUGGCUUGGCGUUCCUGACUUCCCUUGGCUCCUGAAUUCGGUUUGGCUCCUGACGACGACAACGUUCCUUCCUGGCUUGGCGUUCCUGGCUUCCCUUGGCUCCUGAAUUUGGUUUGGCUCCUGAUGACGACAACAUUCGCUCCUGGCUUGGCAUUCCUGGCUUCUCCUUGAUUCCUGAAUUCGGUUUGGCUCCUGACGGCAGCGUUGCCCGUUCCUGGCUUGGCAUUUGCUGGCUCCCUUCUGGUUCCUGAAUUCGGCUUGGCUUCUGACGACGGCAUUGUUACUCCCGGUUGGCUUUCCUUUGGGUUUCUGGAUUCGGCUUGGCUUUUGGACAACAGUAUCGCUUGCUCUCGCUACUGGUGGGCGUUUGGCCCUUCCUUGGCUCUCUGUGCUAGAGCGGGGCGUGACUCUAGUUCCAGUGAACGUUUGGUUGAAAUUAAGCCAGAUUAUCAGGCUAGAUAAUCCGGAUUAUUUACUGUUCCUCUUUUUUGCCUUUUCUUGAAACAAAGACAUUUACCUUUACUGGGAACACUGAAGUUAAGUGUUUCUAGGUUCUAAAUAUCAUUUAAUAAACAUUUGUUAACUCUAAUCAUUGUGUGUGGCCCUUUAAGAGGAGUCUGAGUCUUGACACAUCUUCAGUGGUCUGUUGGAAGUGAGGCAAGUGGAGUGCAUAAACUACAAUAGUAUGGAAAUAAUUACCGUAUAUACUCAAGUAUAAGCUGACCCGAGUAUAAGCCGAGGCACCUAAUUUUACCACAAAAACUGGGAAAACUUAUUGACUCAAGUAUAAGAUGAGGGUGGGAAAUGCAGCAGCUAUGGGUCAAUUUCAAAAAUAAAAAUAGAUAUUAAUAAAACUGCAUUAUUUGAAGCAUCAGUAGGUUAAAUGUUUUUGAAUAUUUAUAUAAAACCUUAAUUUAAGAUAAUAAUAAGACUUUAAUAAGAUAAGACUGUCCAACUCUGAAUACCUAUAUCAGGGUCCUCAAACUUUUUAAGUGGAGGGCCGAUUCACAGUCCCUCAGACUGUUGGGGGGACGGACUAUGAUGAAAUAGUCCAAAAUUAAGAUUAUUGUUGUUGUGUGCCUUCAAGUCAUUUCAGACUUAGGUCAACCCUAAGGCCAAAGUUUAGGACAGGGGCCAGGUAAAUGACCUUGGAGGGCCACAUCCGGCCCAUGGGCCUUAGUUUGGUGACCCCUGAUCUAGACGAUUUCAUAAGACCAUAGGUAAGCAAAGAGACCUCCAAAGACCAUCUAGAUGGUUUCAUAAGACUAUAAGUAAGAAAAGGGACUCUCAAAGGCCAUCUAGAUGGUUUCAUAAGACCAUAGGUAAGCAAAGAGAUCUCCAGAGACCAUCUAGAUGGUCUCAUAAGACCAUCGGUAAGGAAAAGGACCCUCGAAGGCCAUCUAGAUGAUCUCAUAAGGCCAUCAGAAGACCAUAGAUAAGGAAAGGGACCUCAAAGACCAUCUAGAUGGUUUCAUAAGACCACAGGUAAGGAAAGGGACCCUCAAAGGCCAUCUAAACGGUCUCAUAGGACCAUAGGCAAGGAAGGUGACCUCUAAAAGCCAUCUAGAUGGUCUCAUAAGGCCGUAGCUAAGCAAAGAGACCUCCAAAGAGCAGGUAGACUUAGGUCAACCCUAAGACCAAAGUUUAGGACAGGGGCCAGGUCAAUGACCUUGGAGGGCCACAUCUGGCCCAUGGGCCUUAGUUUGGGGACCCCUGACCUAUAUACUCAAGUAUAAGCUGACCUGAAUAGAAGCCAGCCAGGACCCUCACUCGAGUAUAAGCCGAGGGGAGCUUUUUCAGCCCUAAAAAAGGGCUGAAAAACUAGGCUUAUACUCGAGUAUAUACAGUAACUGAUCACUGAAGUCAGUGUUGAUACAUUGUAUAUAAAUUAGUAAGAAAGUUUAAAAAGGAACCCCAAUGUGAUCCCUGCAUUAGGUGCCAUAGUGGUGGCCCAGUGGGAGGUCACUACAUUGGGAGGCAUUAGUGGGGCACUUAAGGAGCUCUCAUGGUUGCUCUCAUUCUCACACUAACACGCCUCUCAAAAGGCCAUUCAUGAAGAAAAGAUGGGAAUUCAGUAAAACCUGCUGCUGCAGAAAGAAGGGAGCUGUAUGUUCACUUCGAUAGAUUUAGUUUGUUCUGCAAAGUGCUCAAAGAGCGGAGGGAGAAAGACGAAUUUGAGCACUUUAUCCUGGGAAUUGAAACUGCAAGGUGUCACGUUUUUGUGUAUAUUUCUGUGCUAAAAUCAGUGAGGAUUAGCUUUUCAUUCCAUGUGCAUCUGUCCCCUCCAAAAAAGAAGAAAGCAUCUAGAUGUCACAAUCCUUUUUUUGCUCCAAACAAUUGGCCCCAUGUUUCCUUUGUUUUUAUUUAUUUAUUUCCUGCAUUUAUACCCCACCCUUCUCACCCGCGGGGACCCAGGGCAGCUUGCAACAGUUGGCAAGAAAGCGAUGAAGGGUUCGGCAGCACUGAGGAAGGUAAGCAUUAAGAAAGAGCAAGAAAGGUGGCUGCGGGAGGUCUGCAACCCUGGGAGAUGGUAGCACAGCUGUGUCUCUCCACUAUCCUCUCUACUUGAUAAAUGAUUUUUAAAAGAGUUAAACCAGAGUAGUUGGAAAAUAAUUAGCUGACAAGUGAAGUCAGAUGUCAAGAAAUCUGGGUAUUUUACUAUGCUAUUUCACAUUAUAGGACUUGAACGUCCUCAGAUUUUGGUGUCUACUGGAAACCAAAUACCAGCAGAUAUCAAGGGUCCACUAUACUGGGGGCUGAAAGGCUCAGCCCAGCUCCCGCCUGGCACCUGGAGACUGAUCUAGCUGAGUUUUGGCACCAUUACCAUUAUGACAACCACAGCGCAACUAGCAGGUCUGCCCUAUGAAUUGAGGAAAAGUUCAUCCGCCUAAGUGUUGGAUUUUGGUGCGCCGUUUAAGAAUUUCUUCAAGGUUUUCCACUGGAUGUCAACAAUUUAAAUUUGUAGAAAUAUUUAUAUUGCAAAGAGUUGGGCCUGAGGUACGAGGCUUGAAUGAAAAGUAAUGCCUCCACCUUCGUAACUCCUCAACAGAUGGCAGUCCUGGUCUGCAGCAGGUACUGGCUUAUUCAGUAGACUCUCCUCUACAGUUCCGUUUGGUGGGAAGCCUGAGCAUUGAACGGCUGUGUUGUUAAAGUGCAAAGUAUGGGACCCUGCGCAGACGGUCGGUCAAUGCGACUUAAGCAACGUGCAGUCAUUGAAUUCUCGACAGCAGAAGGUGCCACCACAAAGGAGAUUCAUCAGAGAAUGCAAGCUGUUUAUGGGGAUUGUGUUGAUGGGAGAGUAAGUUUCAAGAAGUGGGAACAUCUGACUUGCGUGACAAACAAAGAGUUGGACGUCCUUUGACAGCAACCACCGAGUUUCAAGCUAAAGGUUGACAGAUUGAUUCAGAACGAUUGCCAUAUCACUCAGAGAGAAAUUUCAAGCAUAAUCGGCAUUUCACAAAAAUUAUUGCUUUGCUUGGCUAUCAGAAGAUCUGUGCAGGACGGGUACUGUGAGAUGCUGGUUGUGGAAGCAGAGUGCCGACUUCUUCCAUGACGGCUUCAGAACUGCGGCAAUUUUUAAGGGUUUUUUUCAUGUCAGGAGUGACUUGAGAAACUGUAAGUCGCUUCUGGUGUGAGAGAAUUGGCCAUCUGCAAGGAUGUUAGAGAAAGAACUACCCCACUCCUGAAGCAGCUACACUGGCUUCCGGUUUGUUUCUGGGCGCAGUUCAAGUUGCUGGCUUUGGCCUACAAAGCUCUAUACAGUUUGGGCCCAGCGUACUUGAGGGACUGUAUCACCUUCUACCAACCCACUCGAGCUUCUUCUUCUUUUUUUUUUUUUUACGAAUUUUUAUUUUUUAAAACACAAAAAAUACAUACCAUACACAUACAAAACAUUUACAAUUCUCACCACCAACACGAGGAUUAUUUUCAUUUACAUAUUCAUUUAUUUUUGAGACAAUCUUUAUAUCUUUAUACAUUUCCAUCCUAUAUACUAUAUAACAAUUGUAUCUUAUUUCUUAUGGCUUGAUCUCUGGAUUGAUUCAUGAUAUAGUUCUUUACCCUUGUCCAUCUUUCUUCCAUUUCUCUCAUUUUUAAAACAUUUAAUUUCAUAUUUAUAAUUUCAAAUUCCAUUUGCUCCACCAUAUAUUGGUACCAUUUAUUUACUGUCCAUUUUGAUUUAUCUUUCCACCCUAAUAUUAUUACUGCUUGUGCACAUUCAAUUAUUGCUUCUUUUAUUUCCCAUUUCCUCUCUUUUCCCUAAUACAGUAGAGUCUCACUUAUCCAAGCUAAACGGGCCAGCAGAAGCUUGGAUAAGCGAAUAUGUUGGAUAAUAAGGAGGGAUUAAGGAAAAGCCUAUUAAACAUCAAAUUAGGUUAUGAUUUUACAAAUUAAGCACCAAAACAUCAUGUUAUACAACAAAUUUGACAGAAGAAGUAGUUCAGUACGCAGUAAUGUUAUGUUGUAAUUACUGUAUUUACGAAUUUAGCACCAAAAUAUCACAAUAUAUUGAAAACAUUGACUACAAAAAUGGCUUGGAUAAUCCAGAAGCUUGGAUAAGCGAGGCUUGGAUAAGUGAGACUCUACUGUACCGCUAUUUCCUUUGUUAUGACCCACUCAUUUCCUAGUAUUUGAUUUGACUCAUUUUGUAUAGUCUGCCAAAAAUAUUGUACAUAUUCACAUUCCCACAUCAUGUGCAUAAACCGCCCUUUCUGAUGACA